CUGCCGAUACGCGUUACUCCGAAUCCACAGUUUUCACGGGAACAGGUGUGUUGUGGCUAACGCUGAGGUAGCUAAAGCAACAGAACAAAGAAACUAGAGAGGAGCACUGGAACAGGUGUGAGCUCCACAGCCAUAGAGGUGUGUCGUGGCUAACGCUGAGGUAGCUAAAGCAACAGAACAAAGAAACUAGAGAGGAGCACUGGAACAGGUGUGAGCUCCACAGCCAUAGAGGUGUGUUGUGGCUAACGCUGAGGUAGCUAAAGCAACAGAACAAAGAAACUAGAGAGGAGCACUGGAACAGGUGUGAGCUCCACAGCCAUAGAGGUGUGUCGUGGCUAACGCUGAGGUAGCUAAAGCAACAGAACAAAGAAACUAGAGAGGAGCACUGGAACAGGUGUGAGCUCCACAGCCAUAGAGGUGUGUCGUGGCUAACGCUGAGGUAGCUAAAGCAACAGAACAAAGAAACUAGAGAGGAGCACUGGAACAGGUGUGAGCUCCACAGCCAUAGAGGUGUGUCGUGGCUAACGCUGAGGUAGCUAAAGCAACAGAACAAAGAAACUAGAGAGGAGCACUGGAACAGGUGUGAGCUCCACAGCCAUAGAGGUGUGUCGUGGCUAACGCUGAGGUAGCUAAAGCAACAGAACAAAGAAACUAGAGAGGAGCACUGGAACAGGUGUGAGCUCCACAGCCAGGUGUGUCGUGGCUAACGCUGAGGUAGCUAAAGCAACAGAACAAAGAAACUAGAGAGGAGCACUGGAACAGGUGUGAGCUUCACAGCCAUAGAGGUGUGUCGUGGCUAACGCUGAGGUAGCUAAAGCAACAGAACAAAGAAACUAGAGAGGAGCACUGGAACAGGUGUGAGCACCACAGCCAUAGAGGUGUGUUGUGGCUAACGCUGAGGUAGCUAAAGCAACAGAACAAAGAAACUAGAGAGGAGCACUGGAACAGGUGUGAGCUCCACAGCCAUAGAGGUGUGUCGUGGCUAACGCUGAGGUCGCUAAAGCAACAGAACAAAGAAACUAGAGAGGAGCACUGGAACAGGUGUGAGCUCCACAGCCAUAGAGGUGUGUCGUGGUUAACGCUGAGGUAGCUAAAGCAACAGAACAAAGAAAUUAGAGAGGAGCACUGGAACAGGUGUGAGCUCCACAGCCAUAGAGGUGUGUUGUGGCUAACGCUGAGGUAGCUAAAGCAACAGAACAAAGAAACUAGAGAGGAGCACUGGAACAACACAGACCUGACCCUUUAUGAAGCAACAUAGAAAAUGAACAUUCAUCAGAGUCCCAUUGAGUAUUGCAGUUUCCAUAGCAACAGGGACAGAGUGAUGGAGAGUGGGCGAGAUUGAUGGGGAGUGUGUAAAGGAGUAGGUGAGGUAGGAGUCAAAACAAUGUGUGUGUGGGUGUGUACAUGUAUGUGUGUGUGUGUGUGUGUGUGAG